rnacentral:rRNA from 1 species
UAGGGAAUCUUCCGCAAUGGGCGAAAGCCUGACGGAGCAACGCCGCGUGAGUGAUGAAGGGUUUCGGCUCGUAAAACUCUGUUAUUAGGGAAGAACAAAUGUGUAAGUAACUGUGCACAUCUUGACGGUACCUAAUCAGAAAGCCUCGGCUAACUACGUGCCAGCAGCCGCGGUAAUACGUAGGUGGCAAGCGUUAUCCGGAAUUAUUGGGCGUAAAGCGCGCGUAGGCGGUUUCUUAAGUCUGAUGUGAAAGCCCACGGCUCAACCGUGGAGGGUCAUUGGAAACUGGGAAACUUGAGUGCAGAAGAGGAAAGUGGAAUUCCAUGUGUAGCGGUGAAAUGCGCAGAGAUAUGGAGGAACACCAGUGGCGAAGGCGACUUUCUGGUCUGUAACUGACGCUGAUGUGCGAAAGCGUGGGGAUCAAACAGG